CCUACGGGAGACAGCAGUGGGGAAUAUUGGGCAAUGGGCGCAAGCCUGACCCAGCAACGCCGCGUGAAGGAAGAAGGCCCUCGGGUUGUAAACUUCUUUUAUCAGGGACGAAACAAAUGACGGUACCUGAUGAAUAAGCCACGGCUAACUACGUGCCAGCAGCCGCGGCAAUACGGAGGUGGCAAGCGUUAUCCGGAUUUACUGGGUGUAAAGGGCGUGUAGGCGGGAGAGCAAGUCAGACGUGAAAUUCCAGGGCUCAACCCUGGAACUGCGUUUGAAACUGUUCUUCUUGAGUGAUGGAGAGGCAGGCGGAAUUCCGUGUGUAGCGGUGAAAUGCGUAGAUAUACUGAAGAACACCAAUGGCGAAGGCAGCCUGCUGGACAUUAACUGACGCUGAGGCGCGAAAGCGUGGGGAGCAAACAGGAUUAGAUACCCUUGUAGUC
rnacentral:rRNA from 1 species